rnacentral:rRNA from 1 species
GAUGAACGCUGGCGGCGUGCCUAAUACAUGCAAGUCGAGCGAACAGACGAGGAGCUUGCUCCUCUGACGUUAGCGGCGGACGGGUGAGUAACACGUGGAUAACCUACCUAUAAGACUGGGAUAACUUCGGGAAACCGGAGCUAAUACCGGAUAAUAUAUUGAACCGCAUGGUUCAAUAGUGAAAGACGGCUUUGCUGUCACUUCUAGAUGGAUCCGCGCCGCAUUAGCUAGUUGGUAAGGUAACGGCUUACCAAGGCAACGAUGCGUAGCCGACCUGAGAGGGUGAUCGGCCACACUGGAACUGAGACACGGUCCAGACUCCUACGGGAGGCAGCAGUAGGGAAUCUUCCGCAAUGGGCGAAAGCUUGACGGAGCAACGCCGCGUGAGUGAUGAAGGUCUUCGGAUCGUAAAACUCUGUUAUUAGGGAAGAACAAAUGUGUAAGUAACUAUGCACGUCUUGACGGUACCUAAUCAGAAAGCCACGGCUAACUACGUG